rnacentral:rRNA from 1 species
AGUGAACGCUGGCGGUAGGCCUAACACAUGCAAGUCGAACGCACUCUUCGGAGUGAGUGGCAGACGGGUGAGCAACGCGUGGGAAUCUACCCAGUCCUUCGGAAUAGCUCCUGGAAACGGGAAUUAAUACCGGAUACGCCCUUUUGGGGAAAGAUUUAUCGGGAUUGGAUGAGCCCGCGUUAGAUUAGCUAGUUGGUGGGGUAAUGGCCUACCAAGGCGACGAUCUUUAGCUGGUCUGAGAGGAUGAUCAGCCACACUGGGACUGAGACACGGCCCAGACUCCUACGGGAGGCAGCAGUGGGGAAUAUUGGACAAUGGGCGCAAGCCUGAUCCAGCCAUGCCGCGUGAGUGAUGAAGGCCUUAGGGUUGUAAAGCUCUUUCACCGGUGAAGAUAAUGACGGUAACCGGAGAAGAAGCCCCGGCUAACUUCGUGCCAGCCGCCGCGGUAA